GGGGGGGGGGGGGGGGGGGCCGGGGGGGGGCAGGGGGGGCGAAGGGGGGGGGGGCUUGGUCCUCGGACGGUGGCGGCGGAAGGGGGAGUAACACGUGGAUACCCUACCAAUAAGAGUGGGAUAAGUGGGGGAAACUGGAGCUAAUACCGAAGAAUAUAUUGAGCCGCAUGGUUCCAUAUUGAAAGCGUGUUUUGCUUUACCUACUCGAUGUAUCCCCGCCGCCUUAUCCCGUGUGGAAGGUACCGGGUUACCAAGGCAACGAUGCGUAGCCGACCUGAGAGGGUGAUCGGCCCCACUGGAAAUGAGAAACGGUCAAGACUCCUACGGGAGGCAGAAGUAGGGAAUCUUCCGCAAUGGGCGAAAGCCUGACGGAGCAACGCCGCGUGAGUGAUGAAGGUCUUCGGAUCGUAAAACUCUGUUAUUAGGGAAGAACAAAUGUGUAAGUAACUAGGCACGUCUUGACGGUACCUAAUCAGAAAGCCACGGCUAACUACGUG
rnacentral:rRNA from 1 species